GACGAACGCUGGCGGCGUGCUUAACACAUGCAAGUCGAACGGAAAGGCCCUGCUUUUGUGGGGUGCUCGAGUGGCGAACGGGUGAGUAACACGUGAGUAACCUGCCCUUGACUUUGGGAUAACUUCAGGAAACUGGGGCUAAUACCGGAUAGGAGCUCCUGCUGCAUGGUGGGGGUUGGAAAGUUUCGGCGGUGGGGGAUGGACUCGCGGCUUAUCAGCUUGUUGGCGGGGUAGUGGCUUACCAAGGCUUUGACGGGUAGCCGGCCUGAGAGGGUGACCGGCCACAUUGGGACUGAGAUACGGCCCAGACUCCUACGGGAGGCAGCAGUGGGGAAUAUUGCACAAUGGGCGGAAGCCUGAUGCAGCAACGCCGCGUGCGGGAUGACGGCCUUCGGGUUGUAAACCGCUUUCGCCUGUGACGAAGCGUGAGUGACGGUAAUGGGUAAAGAAGCACCGGCUAACUACGUG
rnacentral:rRNA from 1 species